CGGGUGAGUAACACGUAUCCAACCUGCCGUCUACUCUUGGACAGCCUUCUGAAAGGAAGAUUAAUACAAGAUGGCAUCAUGAGUCCACAUGUUCACAUGAUUAAAGGUAUUCCGGUAGAUGAUGGGGAUGCGUUCCAUUAGAUAGUAGGCGGGGUAACGGCCCACCUAGUCUUCGAUGGAUAGGGGUUCUGAGAGGAAGGUCCCCCACAUUGGAACUGAGACACGGUCCAA
rnacentral:rRNA from 1 species